rnacentral:rRNA from 1 species
AUCCUAACCGUGCAAAGGUAGCAUAAUCACUUGUCCCCUAAAUAGGGACUAGUAUGAAUGGUCAAAUGAGGACUAAACUGUCUCUUACAUUUAACCAAUAAAACUGAUCUCUCAGUUAAAAAGCUGAGAUAUAAACAUAAGACGAGAAGACCCUGUGGAGCUUCAAACCAACCCAACCCUAAUGGUUCGGUUUUUAGUUGGGGCGACUUCGGAGKACAAAAAAACCUCCGACAAACCAUAUCAAGACCAACACGUCAACAUGCUUAUGACCCGGKACAAAAUAUCCGAUCAAUGAACCAAGUUACCCCAGGGAUAACAGCGCUAUCCCCUUCUAGAGUCCUUA